rnacentral:lncRNA from 1 species
ACAUUGUAACCUACACAAGAAAUUGUGACAAAAGAGGUAAGCACUCUCAGAGAUUAUCCCAACUUGGAUAAACAACUUUUUUAAUUGAAACCGAAAAACAACUCAUAUAUAUAACCAACAAAAACAAUGUAUAAGAAGCGCACAAAGCACAAAAAGAUCCGACAAAAAAUGCAAAACCCCCAGACCACAAGCACACAGCUGCUAACACAGUAUGCAGAUAAUUACGUUAAAACAACUAAUCAGUACUCCUAAUUGCUCAACUAAUGAAACAGCCUUAUAACCUGGCUUCAUUGGAUCAUGAAGCAUCUAAUUGAAAAAAUCUACACUGAACAGCACAUGUGCCUGCAACACUGACACUAAUUCCACCAAUACAGUUAAUCAAUCCAAUAUCCCCAACAUCAAACCCAGCUCUGCUUAGCACCUGACCUGUCCACACAAACCAAACUGUGGACGCCUGACAGCAGCAAAAAUCAGACAGAAAUUCCAGUAAUGUGACAACCAUGCAUGCCAUACUAUCAUUGUGCAGUCUAAUUCAGCAAACCACCAACGGGUAGACAAAGCAAGAGGAUUGAACAUCCAUUGUGCAAUUGAAUAUUUGAAACCAGUUCCUUUCUAAUGCAACCAAUUCCAAGAAAUCACUUUAGGUUGUUCUAACAUUAAAUCCACAGAUACGGGAAACCGCUUUACCAUGAAAAAUUGCAAGAUGUUAGCCUUCCAAAUAGACCACAAACAAGCAAGCAAACCCAGCAUAAUAAAUUUAAGUUCCACUUCUUUUCCUCCAUUAAAUAAUCCCGCAAAUAAGCUGAGAUUGUUGCUUUCUACUCUUACAUUAUGUUAAACCAAACUCACUCCCAUCCAUUUAGCAAGAUCCACCCAAACUUCAGAGAAAAUAAAUUUCAAAUUGUUUUCAUAUAAGUUGUUUACAAAUCCUAUCCUAGAGAGCCUAUGAAAGUAAACUAAAAAUAACUUAUGAACAUGUCAUAAGCUAUUUUCAAAAGCUCUCACAGAUAACUUGAUCCAAACAGACUCAUAUCCCAAAUUCCAUAGCAUAUAGAAAAGGGCAAAACCUAAUCACAUGCAUGAAAUAUGAAACAACACAGCACAUGAACGAACCUAAGCAAACUAUUUAGUCCCUCUGGCAUUGAUUAUAAGCAAAAGUUGGUCAAAGAAAGUUGAUAUACUUUGUCCAAAAUUUUAACCAAAUACAUUACCUUUCUUUGACCUACUUUUGCUUAUAAUUAUGUCAUAUUCAAUUAAAUUAUUCAUGUGCAGAGAUUAGGAAGGACAAAAGAUUACAUGGUCCAUACAAUGAGCAUAAUAUCACCCCAAGAACAAACAUUACUCUGAUAACUAUAUUAAAGAUAUAAUCGGUAUCUAAACAAAAUUAGGAAUCAAAACUAUUUUUAUCUGAAAGACAUUGGACCCCGCCGUAAUGGAAUCAGAAUAGUGCAAUUUCAGUUGAUCUAGGAUCCUCUUAAUUCCAACAAGAAUGUGAUCUGUGGUGGUCAAAUACUUUGACUCACUUCCCUUACUAAUCUUAGAUCCAUUCCAAAUCAAUUGCCUCAUUAACCAUCCUUAUCAGAUAAUCAGUACCACUCUGCACUCAAGUACCACUACAAUGCAUAAAUUAUAUCGCACUUCCAAAAUUUUCUUACCUUACCAAUUUGUAACAUGAUACAACAACCUCUCAUCCUCAUUCACGAUCAUAAAGUACUUCUAGAAACACCUAAUACCACUAAUUAUACUACACCACAUAUACCUCUCCACCUGAUAUGUACACACACAAAUUAGCUGAUGCCAAACAUACACCUCCCUGCACUUGUUUUCAGUGUGUGCUCAAAAGAUAGCAACUCGUCACCAUGUGCCCGUCACCGAGUUCAUCAAACCAAAGCUUGUUAUGAUGUUCCUCAACUAUACGAUUUUAACAAACACCCCCGUUAUCAGAUUGAAAACCAUUUAAACAAUUACCAAACCUCUUUCUUUAACAAAAACAUCUCUCAAAUUACCAGACAGCCACCUUUAUGCUAUAAAUGUUAAAAUAAGCUGUUUCCAUAAGAUAAAAUAAAGUCAAAUUGUUUUCAUAUAGGCUAUAAGAUGUUUCCAUAAGCUAUUCUAAAGAGCUUAUGGAAAUAAGCUGAACAUGUCAUAAUCUAUUGUCAUAAGCUGUCUCAGAAGUGCUUAAGCUAUUAUAUAAGCUCAAAUAACUCAAUCAAAUCGAAACAGACUUGUAUCCCAAUUUUUCUAUAGCUUAUACAAAAAAUGAAACAACACAACACAUUAGCGAAACUAAUCUAACUAAUUUAUGUCAUAUUCAAUUCAAUUAUUCAUUAAAUUAUGCACAUUGAAAUGAAGUGAAAGUGCUUACGGUGGAGAAAGAGAUUUGGCGGAGAUAGGUCGGAGAUUGAAAUUCCGAUAAAGAGCGAGUGAGAGAUGAACGGAGGAGUGACGAGAAGAGUCUUCGUGAAGCCAUGGCUGGUUUGCAGAGAGGAAGAAGAAAAGCUUUGGUGUUGUUAGGGUUUAUGGUUUGCGAAGGUUUCGCGUUUUGUGACUGAACGAUGUCGUUUUGUGAUUCGGGUAAUCGCUCGGAAUAUAACCCGAUACGACCCGAAUUAGUGUGGUUUUAAGGGUUUGGUUUUUAACAAUUCACUAGGGAUGACAAAAUGGGUCGGACCUGUCGGAUUGGUCCGUUUAACCAGUCAUUUUUAUCUGAAUUGAGAUUUUAAACCUGACAUAAGUAGGGUGCCCGCUCCGCCUAACCCGCUAAAAAACGGGUAAGUGACGGGACGGGGCGGGUUGACCCGUUUGGAUUUUUUUUGUUUAGUGACCAAAGUUUGAACUCUGGAACUUGCAUAUUUUAUGCAUUGUCCCAACCAACUGAGGUAAGCUCACGAUGACAUCCGUUUGGUUGAUAUGAUAAAAAGAAACUCUCUUUUUCACUUAUUUUUAUUUAUAGUCAAAUCAAUUUUCACUUCCAUAUAUUUGGGGAAAAAUUCAAUUAAUUUUAUCACUUUUGUUUUAUGAUUUUAGCCUUAUAUUUUUAACAGUUUAGUUAAUUGAUAACUCAUGGAGUUUUCAUUUUCAAUGUUUUAUUGAUUUAUUAUAAAAUAUUAGAAGAUGUAAUCUAUAUGUUUGAAUAAGUAUUUUCAUAAUUUUAGUAGAUUUAUUAGUUAUAUAUUUAGAUUUCUUUAAAUUGGUUUUAAAUUUAUAUAUUUUUAUAUUGUUUAUGUGAAGAUUUUAAUUUUUUUUUUAAUGCAUUGACGGGUCAACCUGCCGGUCCGCCAUAAAACGGGGUGGGGUGAGAUUUUCAACCCUAUUUCUCUAGUUGGCCCGCCCCGCUCCGCCCCUUUUAUGACGGGUUAUUGAUGGGGAGGGGUGGGACGUGGGCGGGUUGACUCUUUUUUCCAUCCCUAAUUCAAUUCACCCAUCUAUUUGGAUUAAAAAAUUACUCCAUCCGUUUUUUUUUUUGCAAGUACACCAUCCAUCCGUUUCUAAAUAUAAGCAAAUUUGACUUUUUAUAGUCAUUCAAUUAAUGAUGUAUUUGGUUCAUAUUAAGAGUUUUAUUUAUUUCUAUUCUACACCCAUCAAAUUUUUUAUUUUUACUUUUAAAUUUUUUAUUACGUGGACUGCCACGUGGCAAAAGUUGCACAGUCAGCAGCUGUCACGUGGGCUAAAUCAUGUUAGCUUAGCGAAAAAGUGGGCCCAUGAACUUUUUUAAAAGACAUAAAAUUUUGCAAGAACCUUUAAUAAAAAAAAUAUUGGUUCUUGCUAACUUGUGCCCUAAGAAACUAAAUAUAGUAAUUUGAUCUUGAAAAUUGUGCAUUCAUAGUCUUAAAAAUUUAAAAAUUUAAAAAUUUACCUUUUCAAUGUACCAUUUAUUUUUCAAUUCCACUUUUAGAUCAUUCUCUUGUACCCUUAUGGCACAAGUUAUCAUUUUCCAAAAAUAUUUUGCAAGGAUCAAAAGUCAAACGAGUCAUAUUUGCAUAAAUUAUUUACAUAUUUAAGCCUUUUAUAAGCCUAAAGAAGAAAAUUUAUCUCAGGGUUGAUGUGUAACGCCCGUUUUGAUUUAUCGUAUUAUUUUAAUGAGUUUAGAGUAUAUUUUUAUAUAUUUAUGUGAUUUAUAUGAUUUAAGUGAUUUAUGUGAUUUUAUGAGAUGUUGUGACUUAUUUUAUUGUUUAAUAAAAUAAGAUUUGAAAAUAAAAUAAAUAUUGAGAUGAGGGGUUGUUUUGAGAUUUUAGAGAGUUUUGUGUCAAAAAGAGGAAAUAAGAUAAAAUAGAUGGGAAGAGAUAAAUAGGAGAAAACCUAAGUCAGAAUAGUUUUCACGUACGUUCAGUUUUGGAGAAAGGGGAGAAAAGUCAAGAGAAGAGAAGAGAACCAAGAGAGGCUUCCGAUUUCGAUUUGUUAAGGUAAGGGUGAGACUAACAUUCAAUUCUCUUAAGCUGAUAAAUUUGAUGGUUAGAUUUAACAUGUGUAGGUUAGUUUUUAAGAAUUGGAAAAUUAGGGUUAAGAGUCAUAAAUGAUGGAUAGAUGAUGUAGAAUUGCUGAAUUGAUGUAGAAAGUGUUUACAUACCUUAGAUAAUCCAUAGGAUGAUGUUUAGAAUCAGUUUUAAGCUUUGAACCAUGUGAUUAGGUGAAUUUUCGUAGAAAUAUGCAUUCUGCCCGAGCCUGGAUUCAUCGCUCGCCCUCGCGAGCGAUGAUCCUCGCCUAGCGAGCAAUUCCCUUCGCCUCGCCAUAGCGAGUUGACCAGUGAGGAAAGCCUGAAUUUGUGAAUUAAUUCCUUUAGUCGAACUUUAUAUGAUUUUGAGUGCCUGAACAUGUUUAAGAAUGAUUAGGCAAAAAUUUAGAUUGAAAUUGAAUUCUGGGAAGUUAAAAAUGGGAUUUUGUGGGAAAAAUGUCAAGUUCCCGAGAGCACCCAUUUUGAGUUCGCCAAGGCGAACAACCAAUUUUCUGAACUCGCCAUAUCGAGUAAUGUCCCUCGCCUCGCGAGCUGCCCAGAGACAGUCAGCCUUGUUUAGGGUUUUGCGAUUCUUUGUCGCACGAGUUGUUAGGAGAUAAACCUUGAGGCAGGAGUGAAGUUGUUUAUAAUAUUACUGAUGAACUGUGAAUCUGUUAUAAAUGAUUUAAUGUUGUUAGUAAUGUGAUAUAAUUGUAUAUGCAUUAUGUGAAUUAUAUAAGUUGUUCAAGUUGUUGUUGAUUGUCAUUGAUAUUGUUAUAUCUUGAAGUGAUACUUUGAUGUCUACGUUGCUGAUGUAUAUUAAUAAGCUGCAUGAGUCGGUCUAAGAUGAAUGAUGUCGUUCCAAAGUAUUGGAGUCCUAAGUUGAUGAUGUUGUCUAAGAUGUUUAAGUUGAUUGAGUCCAUGCAUACUCAUUAAAGUUGGGGGCUUGAUGUCCUGGAGCCUUUGCUGAACACGUUGAGGGCUUGAUGCCCUGGAGCCUUUGCUCAAUUAAGUUGAGGGCUUGAUGCCCUGGAAGUAUAUUAAUACUUAAAUACGUUGAGGGCUUGAUGCCCUGGAUUGAUACCACAUGCAUGAUUAGAAGUUGUUGAGUUGUUCAUUUUACAUGAAGUUGUUAAUGAGGUGUUAUAUGAUUAUAUUAUUAUCUAUGGUGAAAUUAUGAUGUCUUUAUGUUGUUAAAUAUAAUCGAUGAAUUAUAUGCUUAAUAUUAUUGUUUGUGAAAUCUCACCCCUUCUGCUUGGAAAUGUUGCUCUUCGUAUGAGUAACUUGCAGGUGAUCGAGCAUAAGUUGAUGUAGUUGCUGUCGUGAGUGGGAUAUCUCUCACUGUGUCUUUAGGUGCUCUGAUACGUAACGAGAUGAGACUUGUUGCAUGCUUUUCUAUUCCUUACGUAUUGCUUAUAGAUUUAGGUGUUAAGUUGUUGAAUUAACUUUAUGAGAUGUUUGAUGAGGCCUUUGUGCCAAAGACUAUUUUAGAUGUUGAAAUAAAUUCCGCUGCGAAGUUUUGAGUAUUAUGUUAUUGAAUUUUGAAGGAUA